CCUACGGGAGUCAGCAGUGGGGAAUAUUGCACAAUGGGCGAAACCCUGAUGCAGCGACGCCGCGUGAGUGAAGAAGUAUUUCGGUAUGUAAAGCUCUAUCAGCAGGGAAGAAAAUACUGGUACCUGCUUAAUAAUCACCGGCUAACUACGUACCAGCAGCCGCCGCAAUCCGGAGGGGGCAGCCGUUAUCCGGAUUUAUUGGGUGUAAAGGGUGCGUAGUCGGCAGUACAGGUCGGGAGUGAAAGGCUGGGGCUUAACCCCAGGACUGCUGUGGAAACUGUUAGGCUACAGUGCAGGAGAGGUAAGUGGAAUUCCUAGUGUAGCGGUGAAAUGCGUAGAUAUGAGGAAGAACACCAGUGGCGAAGGCGGCUUACUGGACUGUAACUGACGCUGAGGCACGAAAGCGUGGGGAGCGAACAGGAUUAGAUACCCCUGUAGUC
rnacentral:rRNA from 1 species